rnacentral:rRNA from 1 species
AACGAACGCUGGCGGCAUGCCUAACGCAUGCAAGUCGAACGAGACCUUCGGGUCUAGUGGCGCACGGGUGCGUAACGCGUGGGAAUCUGCCCUUGGGUUCGGAAUAACAGCGAGAAAUUGCUGCUAAUACCGGAUGAUGACGUAAGUCCAAAGAUUUAUCGCCCAAGGAUGAGCCCGCGUAGGAUUAGCUAGUUGGUGAGGUAAAGGCUCACCAAGGCGACGAUCCUUAGCUGGUCUGAGAGGAUGAUCAGCCACACUGGGACUGAGACACGGCCCAAACUCCUACGGGAGGCAGCAGUGGGAAUAUUGGACAAUGGGGAAACCCUGAUCCAGCCAUGCCGCGUGAGUGAUGAAG